rnacentral:rRNA from 1 species
GUGCUUAACACAUGCAAGUCGAACGAAGCAUUUUAGUGAAUUCUCUUCGGGGAUGAAAGUAAAAUGACUUAGUGGCGACGGGUGAGUAACGCGUGGGUAACCUGCCUUAUACAGGGGGAUAACAGCUGGAAACGGCUGCUAACACCGCAUAAGCGCACAGUGUCGCAUGGCACAGUGUGAAAAUAUUUAUAGGUAUAAGAUGGACCCGCGUCUGAUUAGCUAGUUGGUGAGGUAAUGGCUCACCAAGGCGACGAUCAGUAGCCGGCUUGAGAGAGUGAACGGCCACAUUGGGACUGAGACACGGCCCAAACUCCUACGGGAGGCAGCAGUGGGGAAUAUUGCACAAUGGGGGAAACCCUGAUGCAGCGACGCCGCGUGAGUGAAGAAGUAUUUCGGUAUGUAAAGCUCUAUCAGCAGGGACGAUAAUGACGGUACCUGACUAAGAAGCCCCGGCUAACUACGUG